rnacentral:piRNA from 1 species
UNUCAGGCUCCUUCAGCAUGCACUUCUUG